AUGGGAUUGGGCGCCAAGUGUCCGUGAAAAUUUUGAACGUGGGAAAAUGUAAAGCUUACUUUUUCACUAUUCCCCCUGUAUAGACUUUCCCAACCCCAACUUUCCCAAUUCUCUCCGCCAAGUUACUCUCUCUCUCUCUCUCUCUCUCUCACACACACACACACACGAGAUCAAGAAGAACUGGGUCAUCCAAAACCAUUGCCGUUGCCAAUUGACCCUCAUCGGCAGUCCCACCAUCCGACAUCGAUCCCGUCUGUGGCCUACUAGACCUGCGCUUGUCUGACCUGAGCAUAAGAUGGGUAGCUGAUGAGUUCUUCAAUUGCUAAGGCAAUUGGGGCAGUUAGUAAUAUUCCGAAGUACCAAAAAAAAUUGGGCACCUAGUUGCAUGAUCAAGAAACCAAGUGAUGGGAAGCUGAUUGGCUAUAACAUGGACUAUCUUGGAUCUAUUGAGGAAGCACUAGGAGGUUGCUUGUAUUUGAGCUAUCCGUAGUUUGAAAUUCGGGUUUGCUUUCAAAUAACAUUUUCUUUUUGCCGGC